GGGAUGUAGCUCAGAUGGGAGAGCGCCUGCCUUGCAAGCAGGAGGUUGCCGGUUCGAUUCCGACCAUCUCC
rnacentral:tRNA from 1 species